rnacentral:rRNA from 1 species
UACGUAGGGCGCGAGCGUUGUCCGGAAUUAUUGGGCGUAAAGAGCUCGUAGGCGGUUUGUCGCGUCGGUUGUGAAAACCCAAGGCUCAACCUUGGGCCUGCAAUCGAUACGGGCAGACUAGAGUACUGCAGGGGAGACUGGAAUUCCUGGUGUAGCGGUGAAAUGCGCAGAUAUCAGGAGGAACACCGGUGGCGAAGGCGGGACUCUGGGCCGAUACUGACGCUGAGGAGCGAAAGCGUGGGGAGCAAACAGG